GUUUUAUUACCAGCAACAAUGUGGUGCUUGUUGCCAUCCUCUCCCAGGCCUGUGGUUCCCAGCCCAACUAGCGGUGGCCUGAGGGCCUGCCUGGUACUGGCAGCUCAGCUGGGAAGCCCAGUGGGGCAGGGCAGUCGCCUCUGCGUUUUCUUUGGUCAACACCUUCUAUGUAGCCUGAACUCUGAGAUGGCAUGGUGAGAGACUGGGGCCCCGACUCGACAGGCCUGGCAGCUCUUAAGUUUUCUCUCCGGAGGCUCCUUGUUUCAGAUCCACAAAUAACAUUUAUUUAUUCAUUCACUAAAGACCUACUAUGUGUCAGACACUGGCUACAAAAUUAUAAAGAGGACUGAGCCGGUCCUCAGGGUGUCUGCAGCGGAGGCGAGAGUCUGGCAAGGUGACCAUUACAUCAUAGGUGGGUGGAGAGAGCUCUGCGGCAUGUGCCCAGGGCAUUCCAUGAGCUCAGAGAAGGGACAUCUCAGGCAAGUGGGGAGGGAAGAUCCAAGAAGGGUUUCUUAAGGAGGUGAGGCUGGAGCUGAAUCUUGAAGGGUGGGCAGCAGUUAGCCGAGUGGUCCAGGGCAUGUUCUCCCUUGGUGCAGCAAGAGUGAAGGGUGAUGGGAGCCAUGGGAUGUGAGGCUAGGAGGGCUGAGCAGGGCUGGACAGAAGGCUGGGAUGUUACCCAUCAAUAAGCAUUGGGCUUGGAGUACCGUGCCCGUAUUUGUGUAUCAGAAAGAUGGUCCAGGGGCAUCAGGGAGAAGAAAUUGGGCAGCUGAGGCUGGGGACAGAUUGUCCAGGCAGAAGCCUGGGCUGAGCCAGGAAGGUGAGAGAGGCCUGGAUGGAGGGGGGCCCAGGGAGGCGCAGUGUCCGGCUGAUGGAUUAGAAAGGCAGGUGUGUUUUUCUCCAUAACUGGUAGCCGUCCUUCUAGAUUUUUGAGGAUGGAAGUGACUUAACCAGGAGUUUGUACCACAUGUACUGGGGAUCCUGACGUUGGGGCCCUUGAGCAGGGGCUUCCGCUUCUCAGGAGCUCCCCCAAACGAUGAGCCGCAAGGCCUAGACCCUGUUCUUCAACUCCCACUGCACGAC
ensembl:lncRNA